UACAAGUCGGGACCAAAUAGCUAGGAAGUGUUGAAGAACAGUUUCUGGGGUUUACAGUGGACCAUGAACUAAACUCAAGCCUGUGGCAAUAGGCUCAAGACUGCUGUGCAAUACAGCACAUGAUUGUGUAAAUUUGAGAUAAGUGAAGAAGACCAACAAGUAAUCAUGCAAGUACUUCUUGCAUUCUGUACAGCAUUUUUAAGGCCUCUGCAGGAGAUAUAUGCCUAGAUUGAACAAUGUCUUUCAAAAGCAGAAUGAAUCCAGAAUAAACUGAAGUCAGAGGGGCUGUGGAAACUCCAGUGUUAGAAACUUGUAAGUACAAUUUAGCUCAAUACUAAACCUUCAUCAGUAAUGUUUAUUUCUGUACUCAGGCAGAUGAUAUCCUGGAGUUCAUGAUACCUUACGACCAACCAACAGGAAGACAACAUUCCAAGCUGGCUGCACAGGGCUGCUGUGCCUGCUCCCAAACUGCCAUCUCCACACAGCCUCAGUAUCUACAGCAUCUGGAACUAUGAUUUUCCCUACUCAGUGCCAGCCACCAGCCCUGCAAAGCUCCUGCAUGGACCCCAGCACAUCACUCAUCCAAAGCGCUGCCAAGCACUGGACAGUACAAAGACAUCAUGGAAAAGCUCAACAGAGAGAAGCUUUGCAAGCUAUUCUAAGAUAAAAACUCCAAAGAUGAUCCAAAAUCCAGUGAGGUCUGUGAAAAACCUCCCUCUCCCUUUUCUUUGGAAUCUGUCCCAAACGAGGUGAUGCACUUUUGUGCCAGGCUUCCCACUCUCCCCAAGGGAAACAACAGUGACUACCUGUCUCAAGCUUUUGUUUCUUGCACAAAGCACUGAAGAGGAGAUGGCAACACCUCAGCUUCUUACUGAAACAGCCUAAACAGUAAGCCAAACAUGUUUAUGUGGGAAUGUAUUUGAGUGUUUAUAUGCCAGCUCUGUUCUUAGAGACUCUCACUGUAGGAAAAUGAGAAAAUAAAGUACUUAACUGUGCAAGUAAUUUCAGCUGGAGCCCAUUAUCCAUCUGCUAAUACAGUGCAGCCUGGAAGCUUUGCCAGUGACAGAUUAAGGUCAAACAAAUAAUCAUUCGUACAAUAUACACUCCUCUUCCUAAAUGUAUUUUUCUUUUAUUAUGUAAUGAAAUUCCAAUGAAAAAGCUUUUAAUAAUAUUAUAUUAGUAUAAAUUUCUUGCAGUGAAGCUACGGCAAGUUUCUUGAAUAAUGUUUGGGUCCAGAAAAGCCAGACAGUAUAAUAAAGACAGAAACUCUAGUCACAAGAGUCUGCAGGCCAAAAAGGUAAAACAUGGGAAGAACUGCAUAAAGAAGGUGCUGUUGUUUCAUUUUACAGGGGCAGAACCAAAGCAGAGGGCUUGUGGGAAUGGGGUGUGCAAGGAUUGGAGACACAGAAAUAACAGUGGCAACUUUAAAGCCUGCAUACAGUGUCAGAGUGAAAUCCCCCAUGAUUUACUGAAAAAUAUUUUCCCCCAAACUUCAAUUUUUGCUGAUCUUUUUUUUACAGAAGAACUUCUUUAAAUUUUUUUUCAAGAUCACCUGUCUUUAAAGAUAAAGCUAUUCAGACGGGUUUGAAAAUCCUGACCUUCACAGCUGUGCAUACACUGACUACAUGCAACUAAAGACAAAGUUUCAGUGUGAAGUGUUAAGCAAAUCAAUCUAUAGGGACUGCUAGUUCUGCAGCCCAAAAUAUAACACAGCAGAGACAGGAAGGUAAUUAGCAGUAUUUAAUUUUAAGACUGAAAAUUACACAAGGAAAAUUUAGCUAUGUUUUCGAUCCAGAUAUGUGCGAGUCAGCCUGACUGGGAUUCAGACUCAGCUAGACUUUGCCACUGGUUGGCCAGGCAUUGACUUCAAGCCCUGGGAAACAUUUAUCUAAGUCAGGGUGAGCCCAAGAUUUCCUCCCAAAGGACUUUGAAGUUGUUAAGUAGUCCAAAUUCUACUCCCCUAUUGGUUACUUGUGCUCCCUAUAAGGUUUCGUUUCUAGAAUGUUUUACAUCUAGAAAUGUAAUGUUUUACAUAGAAUUGUUGCUAGAAUUUUUGUUUACAUCUAGAAAUCUUGCUUGGUUUUGGUCUUUGGAGUUUGACCCUAUAUUAUGUAUAACUUCUGGGUACCGUCCCUGUUUUAUUUUCAUUAAAGUGUUUCUUUUUCAGGCAACUCCAUUGUUCCUGCUCCUCCCUUAUUUUUGUCACCCUCAUCCAGAAGUCAGGCACAUUGCUCAAGUGUUUUAAAUUUUUGGACAAACUGUCUUGUCUUUUGCCAUUGCUCUGACCUGGAGAAAAAUGCCCUUUCGUCAAAGUCAGAGUCAGAAUAUGUAAAUAGAGGAUAACAUUGACCUAUUUAUUUUUUUUUAUUUUUUUUUUCCAAAGAGCAUUUUAUUAUCCACUGAUGAGAAAUGCUGCCUGGACACUGGGUACCAUUAUGUAAACUAUAGAUGUCUCACAAAUUCUUUUGUAACUGAGUGAGAGGGGUGGUGCCUGCUUGCCUCAUUCCCAGGAAGCUGCUUCUGCACAGAGGGUACGACCCUACUUAACCUGUCCCACAGCAGCUGAGCCUCAGUGGUGUCCUGUCUGUGUACACAGCACAGGUACAAAAAGCUAUGGCGUGUCACUGCCUCAUCAGGGACCACAGCAGAAUGCCAAGCACAUGACGAAUCAUGAUUAAAAAAAUGUUUGGAGCAACACUUGUGAAGAGGGGGCGGGGGCUGUUAAAAACUGGAGUCUGUUAAAAGUAAAGGCAGUCAGGAAAAAAUUCUGAUUUUUUAAAGAUAGUC